AUUGAACGCUGGCGGCAGGCCUAACACAUGCAAGUCGAGCGGCAGCGGGAAAGUAGCUUGCUACUUUUGCCGGCGAGCGGCGGACGGGUGAGUAAUGCCUGGGGAUCUGCCCAGUCGAGGGGGAUAACUACUGGAAACGGUAGCUAAUACCGCAUACGCCCUACGGGGGAAAGCAGGGGACCUUCGGGCCUUGCGCGAUUGGAUGAACCCAGGUGGGAUUAGCUAGUUGGUGAGGUAACGGCUCACCAAGGCGACGAUCCCUAGCUGGUCUGAGAGGGUGGUCAGCCACACUGGAACUGAGACACGGUCCAGACUCCUACGGGAGGCAGCAGUGGGGAAUACUGCACAAUGGGGGAAACCCUGAUGCAGCCAUGCCGCGUGUGUGAAGAAGGCCUUCGGGUUGUAAAGCACUUUCAGCGAGGAGGAAAGGUCAGUAGCUAAUAUCUGCUGGCUGUGACGUUACUCGCAGAAGAAGCACCGGCUAACUCCGUGCCAGCCGCCGCCGUAAAAC
rnacentral:rRNA from 1 species